rnacentral:rRNA from 1 species
AACGAACGCUGGCGGCAUGCCUAACACAUGCAAGUCGAACGAUCCCUUCGUGCAUAGUUGCGCACGUCUGCUUACCACCUGGUAACCUGCCCUUAGGUUCCGUAUACCUCAGAGAGAUUUGAGCUCAUACCGGAUAAUGUCUUCGGACCUAAGAUUUAUCGCCUUUGGAUGGGCCCGCGUUGGUUUCGCUGGUUGGUGGGGUAAAGGCCUAUCAACGCGACGAUCCAUAGCUGGUCUGAGAGGAGGAUCAGCCACACUGGCACUGAGACACGGCCCAGAAUGCGACGGGAGGCAGCAGAGGGGAAUAUUGGACAAUGGGCGAAAGCCUGAUCCAGCAAUGCCGCGUGAGAGAUGAAGGCCGUAGGGUUGUAAAGCUGUUUUACCCGGGAUGAUAAUGACAGUACCGGGAGAAUAAGCCCCGGCUAACUACGUG